rnacentral:piRNA from 1 species
UGAACCAGUUCUUGGAUGCUCUCUAACGGU